UAUUAGUCUUGGAAUUCAAGGCAGACUCAACCUUGAUGACUCGACUUGGACUCGAACACUGGGGACUCGAGACUCGACUUGGACUCAAACUCAGGUAAUGGUGACUCAACUCGGACUCUGACUCAAACUCGCAUAAUGAACUCACAUAAUGAAUGCAAGCCGACCGGAGCAGACCCACGGGACUGCGCCCGGCUGAGCCAGAGUUCCUGUAGCUGUAAUAAUGGAUAUAAUGGCUGUAAUUCAUCAUUUGUAUUAUCUUAUGAUACAAAUGAAUGUAAGCUGUAAAGCCUGUAACGUGGAUGUAACCUUAUGUGGGAAACCAGCUGAUAUGUGCAUGCGGUCAUGUGACCGGUUGCCAAUCAGGAAGUGAUAAAAAGCUCACCAGGUGUAGUCAUUAGUCCCCUUGCCUCUCACUGAGCGCACUGCAAUUGUGUGGAUUCUCCUGAUUCUCCAGCCAGGCACAAGUUCCCGUCCUUCACGGAGUGAACUGGGGCAGAUUGACGUUUACCACUGACAAAUGAGCUGCUGUGGC